GGGGACUCUCAGAGGGCACUGCCCCCACGGUCCACGGGAUGCUGCUGCGGGCUUCCAGCUUCCUUAAAAAUAGUUGGGCGUCAGCUUUGUAACCGUAAGAGAAAGCAACAUUCACCUUUAAGGUCACCACAGACGGAACGUUAACUCACUGAAGACCCGCCACCCCAUCGACUGGCUGGAGUGGAGGUGCUCCCACAGUCUCCCUUGAACAGAAACAGAUCCUGAGACCCCGAGGCCUUAAGAUAAGCGUCUGAACACUGUCACCACGUACAGCGUUUAUCUGUUGCUUCUGCGUUUAUCUGUACAAUCAAAGCGAGAAACAAACAUGCGAGAUGCUGUGGAGAUAGAAGACACCGAGGUGGCUACCCCAGCCCCAGAUGUCUGUCAGGACUGCGUCUGUUCUUCUCAGCUGUUAGCUUUUGAACAAAUGUUACAGAUGUGAAUAGAACAAGUUAUGCUAAUAAAAUACAGCUUACCCUUGAACAGUUUUCAAGGGUUUGAA